AUUGAACGCUGGCGGCAGGCCUAACACAUGCAAGUCGAACGAGUGGCGGACGGGUGAGUAAUGUCUGGGAAACUGCCCGAUGGAGGGGGGUAACUACUGGAAACGGUAGCUAAUACCGCAUACCAUCGGAUGUGCCCAGAUGGGAUUAGCUUGUAGGUGAGGUAACGGCUCACCUAGGCGACGAUCCCUAGCUGGUCUGAGAGGAGGACCAGACACAAUGGAACUGAGUAACGGUCAAGAUGCCGACGGGAGUAAGCAGUGGGGAAUAUUGCAAAAGGGGCGCAAGCCUGAUGCAGCCAGGCCGCGGGUAUGAAGAAGGACUUCGGGUGGUAAAGUAAUUUCAGCGGGGAGGCGUUACCCGCAGAAGAAGCACCGGCUAACUCCGUGCCAGCAGCCGCGGUAAUUA
rnacentral:rRNA from 1 species